AUUGAACGCUGGCGGUAGGCCUAACACAUGCAAGUCGACCGGCAGAACAGUAAUAGCUUCCUCUUACGGGUGGGGAGGGGCGGACGGGUGAGGGAUACAUACGUAUCUACUUGUUCGGGGGGGAGAACGUAGGGCCUAUUACCGCAUUACCGCAUACGACCUACGGGUGGAACCAUAGGAUCUUCGGACUUUGCGCGAGUGUAUGGGCGGAUGCCGGAUUAGCUAGUUGGCGGGGUAAAGGCCCACCAAGGCGACGAUCGGUAGCUGGCCUGAGAGGAUGAUCAGCCACACUGGAACUGAGACACGGUCCAGACUCCUACGGGAGGCAGCAGUGGGGAAUAUUGGACAAUGGGCGAAAGCCUGAUCCAGCCAUACCGCGUGGGUGAAGAAGGUCUUCGGGUUGUAAAGCCCUUUUAUUGGGAAAGAAAAGCAGCAGGUUAAUACCCCGCUGUUGUGACGGUACCAAAAGAAUAAGCACCGGCUAACUUCGUG
rnacentral:rRNA from 1 species